ensembl:lncRNA
UUUUUUUUUUUUUUUUUUUGAGACGGAGUCUCGCUGUGUCUCCCAGGCUGGAGUGCAGUGGCGUGAUCUCGGCUCACUGCAAACUCCGCCUCCCGGGUUCACGCCAUUCUCCCGCCUCAGCCUCCCAGUAGCUGAGACUACAGGCGCCCGCCACGCCCGGCUAGUUUUUGUAUUUUUAGUAGAGACGGGGUUUCACCAUGUUAGCCAGGAUAGUCUCGAUCUCCUGACCUCGUGAUCCACCCGCCUCGGCCUCCCAAAGUGCUGGGAUUACAGGCUUGAGCCACCGCGCCCGGCCUCAUUUUUUAAAUUGACAAAAAUUGUAUGUGUGUUCUACAACACGAUGUUUUGAAAUAUGUAUACAUUUUGGGAUGACCAAAUCAAGCUAAUUAACAUACGCAUAACCUCAUGUACUUAAAUGACCUUCAUCUGCAUAGAAGAGGAGAGCCUCUGGCACUCAUAGGAUGGAGGAGACCAAAGCUGUAUUUAGGGUACAACAAGGAGGCAGAGCUCUGGUAUGUACCUUGGGUCUAUUUCUUCAGAAGGGAAUGAGCCAGAAGUAGAGAAGCCCUCACAAAGACAAGCCCACGGUUAAAUCAGCUUAAUCAUUGGUUUUAUUAGGGUGAUCUACCCCUCUUUCAACUGAGUUCCAGAGGCAAAACAGAUGCUUUUGGGAGGAAGAUAAUGUCACCCAGAGAUUCAAAUUACUUCUAUAGUUUGCCAUACACAAUGUCUAAUCUACAUGACUGAAAACCAAAAGGAAAAAAAAACACAGUAAAAACAGAUCUACAGUAGAUCCAGACAUUGGAGGUAUUAGACACAGACAUUAAGGUAACUGAUUAAUAUCAAGACAUUAGAUCCCAGUUUAGUGACUUCUAGUAAGGAACUAGAGAUAAAAAGGAACUGGAUGGAAAUUCUAGAACUGAGAAAUAGAACAACGGAGCUUUGAGGGUUCAAUAGUGGGCUUCACAACAGAUAAGACAGUUGAAGAGACGAAUAGUGAAUUGGAAGGUAAGUCAGAAAGAAAUGGACUGGAGCAGAGAGAAGAAAAGGAUGGAAAACUCAGGAAAGAAGAGGAGAGACACACAGGAGAUGGUGAAAGAUUUAACGUGUGUAAUUGGAGUCCUUGAAGGCAGGGAGGACAGAGAUUAGGGCAGGGGCAGUAUUUGAAGAGAUCGUUAACAAGGAUCUUCCAAAACUGGCUUAUGGUUUCCGGAAGUACUAUUUACCCUAAGCUGGGCAGGAAAAAUACAAAGAAAACCCCACCCUGAGGCGCAUUAUGGUAAAGUGCUGGGUGGCUUUAAAUCACUUCUUAAGUCCUUACUUGACAAAAAUGUCUUGUAUUGAACAGGCUUUCACAUGAUAGACAGGCACCAUUUCUGUGAAUUUCCACAGUGGCUUUUAUAGCUUUGCCUUUAGAAUUCUUUCCAGUCACAUCUCUUUUUUGGGGAACAUUUCCCAAGGACUUGGCCCCUAGUAGCCUUGGCCCUAGCCUUGGCCCCUAGUAAGCUUGCUGUGCACGCACAACUGGUGUCCUCCGUGCACCUUUGUUUGUGAUCCUAGGGGAGAAAACAGUGCUACUGCCUCAUCUGCCCCAGCAGUGCUCUCACUCUGCAUAUCACUGAGGUCGGAUGGGAUGUAGGGCAGUGGCUAAGAGCACAGGCUGGAAACAGAACACCUAUGUCUGAUCAAGCUCUUGUUUCAACACUUACUCAUUGUGUAAUCUUGGACUAGCUACCUCGUCCUAGCUUUAGUGUACUAAGUGUACAAGAAGAUUUAUAACAUUCCUUAUUUUUUAGGGCUAUUGUGAGAUUUAAAUGAGCCCAUGGGUGUAUGUAUUUGACAUAUAGAAAACAAUUAAUAGAUGGGCUUAUUUUUAAAUCUCCUUGAUCCAUUUUUUGAACCAUAUAUUUCUCCCUUAAUAAUAGCUGAGGCCUUUUAUGCCUGGUUUGGUCCAGUGGGAACUGAACAUGAAAGGAGAGGAGAUGGUGUACAUUUUAUAUCAGAGCAGAGAGCUUCAAAAUUAAUCUCUUUACGUAUGUACAAGAGUUGGUGAACUUCACUCUUUAAAGGAAGAAGUGAACAUGAAGUUUGAAAAGUUUCCAGAGUUAGAGAAGGCAGACCCUGAUAAAACACCUGGAUAGGUUAAAGGAUUUUCUCCUUAUAGUAAAAGUUAACUUUUCUGACCCAAUUUAAAUUUGAUUUCCUGUUUCUGCCUUUAAAAAAAAUUGAUGCAUAGAAUGUACCAUCUUCUGUAUCAGAAAAUUCUUUCAUAACAAUUUCCAUUAAUGGAAUCAUUUCUUCCUCGCUUCCUUCCUCCCUUCCCUCCCUCCCUUCCUCCCUCCUUCCUUCCUUCCUUUCUUCCUCCCCCUCCCCUCCUUUCUUCCUCCCCUCCCUCCCUUUCUUCCUUUCUCCUUUCCUUUCCUUUCCUUUCCUUUCCUUUCCUUUCCUUUCCUUUCCUUUCCUUUCUUUCCUUCCUUCCUUCCUUCUUUCCUUCCUUCCUUCCUUCUUUCUCUUUCUUUCUUUCUUUCUUUGCUUUCUCACGCUGUUGCCCAGGGUAGAGUGCAGUGGUGCAGUGAUAACUCACUAUAACAUCAACCUCCUGUGCUCAGGCAAUCUUCCUACCUCAGUCACCUGAGUAGCUGGGACAAUAGGAGCAUGACGCCAUGCCUGGCUGAUAAAAACAAAUUUUUUUUUUUAUACAGAUGGGGUCUUGCUAUGUUGCCAGGUUGGCCUUUGAACUCCUGAGCUCAAGUGAUCCACCCGCCUCAACCUCUCAAAGUGCUGGGAUUACAGGCGUGAGCCACAGUGCCCAUUGAAUCUUUUAUUUCUGAUUCAACUCUGGACAUUAGCCUGACUACUUUUACUUCUUGGUUAAUACAUUUUUUUCAUGUAUUCACGUAAAUUAUUUAUUCUACACACUAGAUAUUUGACUUCUCCUUAAGUAAAUACAUAUGUAUACAAUUUAAAUUGUAAUUAUAACUACAUCACAGAAAAUUGGAAAAUAAAUUUCACCUAAUAUCAAAGACUAAACUCAACUACCAUUGGCAUCAACCUGUCUGAUGUUUUGUUUCUCCUUGGGCCAGCACUGAGGAGCAUUGAGAAGGAAAUAAAAGAAGCAGCUGCAUCUGUCUUUCAUAAAGCACAUGCUGUAUGUCAGGCACUAGAUGAAGCUGUUGCCAUGCGUGGUUUCAUCCAGUUGGCAAAUCCACCCGGAGAAGGCUUUAGUUUGGGCCUAGGGUAUCAUUCUCUUUUUUUUUCACUAGGCAGAAAUAGGAUCUUAAUGUGAGUGUAAAUUUGGACACUGAAAUUGGUGGCAAUCUUUGCUUACAAGGUAGAUGACACAGAACACAAUGAUUGUGAGAGAACUCAUAGACUCACUCCUCUUUCCCACACUGACAUGGAAAGCUCUGCUGUUGCUGUUUGAGGAGUGUCUAGGGUUUUGUGAUGCACGUUUGGAUUCAUGCAUUAAUUCACUCAUCCAUUCUAAAGAUUCAUGGUUAAGCCUACCACGAGCCAGGCUCUGUUCCUGGCACUUGGAUAUGGCAGUGAACAAAACAGAGAUCCCUGUCAUGAGCUUAAGUUCCAGUGGGAAGGGAGGCAGCAGAUAAGCAACAUGCAGGAUAAAUGGUAUGUGGAGAUGUAUGGUAGGCGGGAAUGUGACAGAUGCUAUGGAAAAAAUAAAGUGGGACUGGGCGCUGUGGUUUGUGCCUGUAAUCCCAGCACUUUGGGAGGCCAAGGUGGGCAGGUCGCUUGAGUCCGGUAAUUUGAGACCAACCUGGGCAACAUAAUGAGACCCUAUCUCUACAAAAAAUACACAAAUUAGCUAGGUGUUGUGGUGCAUGUCUGUAGUCCUAGCUACUUGGGAGGCUGAGGUGGGAGGAUUGCCUGAGCCUAGGAGCUCCAGGCUGCUGUGAUUGCACCACUGAACUCCAGCCUGGGUCACAGACUGAGAUCCUAGCUCAAAAAAAAAAAAGAAAAAAA